rnacentral:tRNA from 1 species
GCCGAAUUAGCUCAGCUGGUAGAGCGGCUGAUUUGUAAUCAGCGGGUCGGGAGUUCGAGUCUCUCAUUCGGCACCA